AUCCAUCUAUCCAACAAUCAGUGUGUGCAUGUGUGCACAAAGAAUUUUAAGUACAUAAUGAGACACUAUGAUCGAUAAUAAACCAGUUCCAUGCCAGCAGCAUGGUAAAGGAGUUAAAUAUGAAGUCCUAUUCUUUGAGAUAUAAACCAGAAUAAGUUGACAGUUACCCGGUGCAUAUCCUUUAAAAAAUACAUUUCUUUCUUUAGCAUGAAAUUGACCUAGAAUUGAUCCCAAGAUCCAAGAAGACAUCAAUUUCUUAUAAGGAGAUAGAGCUUCUGAUAGGCUUACAUUAACUUUAAAAUCAUAGGGCAACCAUGUAAGAAAGGCCACAAAGAAAAUCUGUUUUCAGAUGGGGAGUUUACACUACAGAUGUGCAGAGGAAAACUACCUUCAUCUAAGUUGCUCUAUGGUUGCCACUUUCCCAAUAUGCACACACACACACACGCUCAAUAGCAUGUGAACAUGCAUACACAUACCUGCACAUGUACACAUAUGUUCAUAUACAGACUGGCUUAAUUUGGAUUAUUGUGUAGCAGCCACAGCUAGGCUUUGGAAGAAGACAAACUUAAAUUGAAACCUUAUGACCUUGAUUUGGUCAGUCUCUUGGUCAAUCCAGAAUAUCAAUAGUAUUCACCUUAUAGACUUGUUGGAGUGCUAAGAUAAUACCUGCGUUGGUGUUCUCCAGAGAAACAGAACCAAUGGGAUGUGUGUAUGGGAGAAAGAGAGGGAGAGAAAUUGAAUGAUUAAUUUAAAGGAAUUAGCUCAUGUGAUGGUGAAGUCUUGGCAACAAAAAAAUCUAUAGGGUAGAUUAAUUAACAGGUAACAGGUAACAGACUAGAGACCCAGGGAAGAGGUAGGUAGUUUGAGACUAAAGACAGUUUGCUGGCAGAAUUCCUUCUUUCCCAGGGGGAGUCACUCUUGGUUCUAUUAAAUUCUUCCACUAAUUAGACAAGGCUCACUCACCUUACAGAGGGUAAUCUGUUUUAUGAGAAGUCUACUGAUUUGAAUGUUGAAUUUUAUACAAAAAUAAGUUUACGGGUACAUCCAGAAUGAUACUUGACCAGAUAUUCUGGGUACUGUGGCCGAGUUGAUACAUAGAUGAACUAUCAUACAAUGUAAAUAAUUACUUAGCGGUAUGCCUGACACGUAAUAAAUACUCAUCAUGUUACUCAUAAAGUAUUAGCCAGUAUCUUAGGCAGUCACAUCAGGGCUUCAUUUGACAGCAGUUUUGUCUCAGACUCUAUAUAGGACAGGACUCCCAGAAGAUUCAAAACCAGACUAUGUAACUUUAAUUAGAAUUGUUAAAUUCCUUGAACUCAUAGAUUAGGGAUAAUUCAGUCUUGUAUGGAAAAAUCCUACAGAUUUCUGUCUUUUUGCUACUAAUUACUGUCUCUGAAGGUUUUUAGGUACAAUUUGAUGUUUUUUCCCUUGCUUCAUCUCUCAUAGUCUUGGACUUGUUUCUCCCAACAGGCUAAAAGGCUUGUUUUCUUAAAAAUAUGAUUAUACUCACUUGAAAAUAUCAAGAAGUAAGGUAAUUAGGCACAGGGAUGAUUAAGUCAACACUCUUGGAAAUUACCUUGAAAAUAAUGUAGAUAAUUAUAUCCCCAUAUUUCUCACUUAAAUUGAAUCAGACCAACAAGAGCAAAAACAACCAUUGAAAAUUGUUGAUCUCUUGGAGUUCCCAUCAUGGUGCAGUGGUUAAUGAAUCCGACUAGGAACCAUGAGGUUGCGGGUUCAAUCCCUGGCCUUGCUCAGUGGGUUAACGAUCUGGCAUUGCUUUGAGCUGUGGUGUAGGUCGCAGACACAGCUCAGAUCCCGUGUUGCUGUGGUUCUGGCAUAGGCUGGUGUCUAUAGCUCCGAUUAGACCCCUAGCCUGAGAACCUCCAUAUGCCGUGUGAAGCGGCCCUGGAAAAGGCAAAAAGACAAAAAAAAAAAAUUGUUGAUCUCAUAAUUUGAGCUUUCUGAAAGCAAUGUUCAGUAACCUGUGCAGUUGAUUAAAUGCCUAGGCAGACAUCUAUUUCUAAGGCAGCUGCUAAAAAUAAGAAAUUAAUUAUUGAAAGGCUUAAUCCUGGACUCUUUUUAUCACUAUGCAAUACAUCUCUAUCUUAUUAGCUAUUUGGUAAAGAAUGAUGAAAGUGACUAUUUUUCAGAAGAAUUGUUAUCAAUAACUCCCUAAAGCCAUUCCAAGGCCUUUUCAUCAAGUGUCUGCACAUCCAUAUUAGCAGAUCAAAUUUACUAUUUUUACAGUACUUUUAGCAUGGCAAGAUCCAAAUCACUUUACUUAGAAGGAAAUUAUUAGAACCUUUGUAUAAUAAAGACUUUGUUGAUAUGUAGACUUGACAUGAAAGGAAAAAAAUAUUGCUGAAUGGUAUAUAUACUGUGGAUAAUGGUUUACUUACGUGAGUAGUGGUCUUUGGGAUGAAUGAGCAGUUUCAAGCUUAAGAUUAUUCCUCAUUCUUCCCUUCUCAAAACAGUUUCACCUAUGAUAAACAUAAGGUUGGUUUAUAAAUCUGUUUGUGUCUGUUUUUUAAAUAAAUUCUCUUGAAUGAUUUUUAUUAGAUUGUACAUAUAAGUGAUGUCAUAUGGUAUUCGUCUUUCUCUGUCUGAUUUACUUCACUCAGUUAAGAUAAUCUCUAGUUCCAUCCAUGUUGCUGUGAAAACAUUGGAAGGGUGGGAACAACAUAUAUACACUACUGUAUAAAAUAAAUGAUUAACAAGAACCUACUGUAUUAACACAGGAAAAUCUACUCAAUGGUUUGUAACACCCUAUAUGGGAAAAAAGAAUGGAGGAGUUCCCAUAGUGUCGCAGUGGAAACGAGUCUGACUAGAACCAUGAGGUUGUGGGAUCAAACCCUGUCCUUGCUCAGUCGGUUAAGGAUCUGGCAUUACUGGGAGCUGUGGUGUAGGUCACACAGAUGUGGCUCAGAUCCCACAUUGCUGUAGCUGUGGCGAAGGCUGGUGGCUAUAGCUCUGAUUAGACCCCUAGCCUGGGAACCUCCAUAUGCCACAAGUAUGGCCCUAAAAAAAAAAAAAUACAAAAAGACAAAAAAAAAAAAAAUGAAUGAAUAUACUUACAUGUAUAACUGAUUCACUUUGCUGCACACCUGAAACUAAGACAACAUUGCAAAUCAACUAUACUCCAAUAAAAUUAAAUUUAAAAAAUUAUCCCUCAAAUGGAAUUAAAGGAAAAAUUAGGUAAUGUUUUGUGGAUUGUGAAUAUCUACAACAAAUUACAGGGUAAUCACAAAACAACACAUUUCACAUUCAGGACAAAUUCUUUUUUUUUUUUUCUUUUUUGGUCUUUUUUUCUUUUUAGGGUCACACUCAUGGCAUAUGGUGAUUCCAGGCCUAGGGGUCCAAUCAGAACUGUAGCCAGUGGCCUCUGCCAGAGCCAGAGCAACGUGGGAUCUGAGCCAUGUCUGCAAUCUACACCACAUCUCAUGUCAACUCCUGAUCCUUAUCCCACUGAGCAGGGCCAGGGAUCGAACCUGUGUCCUCAUGGAUGCUAGUCGUGUUCACUAACCACUGAGCCAUGAUGGGAACUCCUCAGGACAAAUUCCUAAUUGUACUGCUCCUAGAUCUUCUGGAAAGAAGUGGCAGUAUGGAGAUUUAUCAACUCCCAUUCAUUCUGCCCACUGGGUGACCUACCUGGGUCUGAUGGAAUCUCCUCCUCAAGGGAGAACCAACUCAGAGAGUUAUUGAUGAUGAAGUCCCCAUGAGCUCUAGAAGUGGGGCAAUCAAUGGUGGUAUGUAGAACUGCCAGAAAUAAACGGAGCCAGAGGAUAAGUAUGCUUAACGGCAGAGAGCUGGGGUGACCAGCUCAAAGAGACCUUAUCCGGGUCGGGUGGAUGGGGGAAAUACUUUCCAGGGAAGUUACGAUUGAGGGAAAUAAUGCUUAGGGUGGCCAGGUAGCACUGCAUGGAAUUAUUUAAAGGGGCUGGAGUGUUCUGGGUCUAAGGUAUUUUGGUGCCAGUGUUGCGAAAUUGGGAGAUUGCAGGGAUUAAGUGUGCAAUGUCAGGUCAGACACCAUGGGAAGCUAAUCUUAAUUUAAACUUACAACUUUAAAGACCAUCAGUAAUUAGUUACAUGGUUUUCAUCAAUAUAUAAUUCAGAGACACUAAAUUUUUAUAGGCUCCUUAGUUCAGAGGCAGAGGAAGUGAUAAGUCCAUUUGACUUUUUAAACAAUGUGAAACUCCUGUAAUUCAUUAUUUUCAAUGAGUAUUUUCAUAUACAUAUAUAUAUAAAGUAUGUCAUUCCAUGAAUAUGAAUAUAUAUUUUACUCAUAUAAAACAUAGUAAUAUAUUGAUAAAAUUAUAUAUGAAUAUAAAUAUAAGAUACAAAUAUAUUUCAAUAUGUAGUUUAAUACAUUUGUAUAUAUUUCAGGUAAAUACCUGUUCUGAUAUAUUGCUUGUGUUUUCUUCAUUGGGAACAUCAAUUAUACAUAUAUUGAAACUUCUCUUUCUACUUAUGUUUUUUUCCUCAAAGUAUUUAAUGUUUUUUAUUUGAUAUUUUUAACUUACAUGUUUUCAACAUCUAAUUCAAUUGAAGAAUUUGUGUUUUGUGUUCCUUUUGUUUUAGACUUAUUUUUUUAAAAAAAUAUCUAUUUCGUAUUGAUUUCUAAAACCCAUUAAAAAAAUAAUUUUAUGGUUGCACCCAUGGCAUAUGGAAGUUUCCUGGCCAGGGGUUGAAUAAAACCCAUUUAGUUUAAUUUUUUGUUUUGUUUUGUUUUUGUGGCCUUUCCUGUAGCAUGUGCAAGUUCCUGGCCUAGGGAUAGAAUCUGCACCACACUAGCGGCCUGAGCCUCUGCAAUGAAAAAUGCCGUAUCCUUAACCUGCUGUGCCACCAGGGAACUUUGCUAAAACCCAUUUUUGAGUUCUACUAUUAAUCACUUAUGCUGUACAUUCAUAUUUUGUAUAGUGUUUAUAUAUUUCUAUAUAUCUGGAAAUACUGGGCUAUAUUUUCCACCAAUUUAGUCUUGCUGGCAUGAUGUAAUUGUAGGGAUGUUAUUCUAGUCCUUUUCCUCAUUCAUUAUGUCUUUUUAUAAUAUUUCACUGAAAAUAUUUGUUUGAUUAUUUUUAAAUUAUAUUUUUUAUGCUGUUUCUUUUAGAAGGGAGAAGUUGGUCAUAAAAGCUGUUUUAAAACUUCUGUCUAUAAAUACCUCUUUUGUGAAAUCUUAACCCAUCUUCUCAUACUUAGGAGAUUUUCUUAUUCUUUUCUCCACCCCAUUUUUACCUCUUUUUCUAUUGCCUCUGUUUUUCCCAAUUUUAAAUCCUUUUCCAAAUGUUUCUCUGUGGUUGCUGUUUGUCCUGGGGGCUUUGGCAGACUGCUUUAAAGAAUGUAUAACCUAAAAAAAAAGCAAAAAACAAAACUCCAUAUGC
rnacentral:lncRNA from 1 species